GGCUAAUUUAUCAACCAUGGACCAGGCUAAUCUACCAACCAUUGACCAGGCUAAUCUACCAACCAUAGACCAUAGGUUGAUGUCUGGCCUUGGGUUCGAUUUUUUACCAAAAAGAAGAAAUUAUGGUCCCUAAAUGAAACAACUCACACGGUAGUGGCCACGGAUGUUAGGGCAAAGAGUGUUUCUCCUGACAUCAUUAUGUGUGGAAGCAGGCUGCUUUAUAAAUUUACAGAUAAACUUUUCCAGUGAUCACGAGAAAAAUACCCAUACAGUGUAUCCAGGACAGAAGUGCUCAAUAAAAACAUUUUAACUGUUCAUGUUAACAAAAUUCUAAUUACUAAAUACCAGUUGA